rnacentral:rRNA from 1 species
GACGAACGCUGGCGGCGUGCUUAACACAUGCAAGUGGAGCGACGAACCAGGCUUCGGCCUGGGGGCAAAGCCGCGAACGGGUGAGUAACACGUGGGUAACCUGCCCUGAUGACCGGGACAACCCGAGGAAACUCGGGCUAAUACCGGAUGUGCUCCCACCACAUCAGUGGUGUGAGUAAAGGUAGCUUCGGCCUCCGCAUCGGGAUGGGCCCGCGGCGCAUUAGCUUGUUGGUGGGGUAAAGGCCACCAAGGCAACGAUGCGUAGCUGGUCUGAGAGGACGAUCAGCCACACUGGGACUGAGACACGGCCCAGACUCCUACGGGAGGCAGCAGUGGGGAAUCUUGCGCAAUGCGCGAAAGCGUGACGCAGCAACGCCGCGUGGGUGAAGAAGG